rnacentral:misc_RNA from 1 species
UCCGGUUUGUCACCGGCGGUCUCCUUAGAGUUCCCAACUUAAUGAUGGCAACUAAGGACAAGGGUUGCGCUCGUUGCGGGACUUAACCCAACAUCUCACGACACGAGCUGACGACAGCCAUGCAGCACCUGUGUACGCUGGUAUUGCUACCUCGUUAGGCUUUCACCCUUCUACUACGUACAUGUCAAGGCCAGGUAAGGUUCUUCGCGUUGCAUCGAAUUAAGCCACAUACUCCACCGCUUGUGCAGGCCCCCGUCAAUUUCUUUGAGUUUUAAUCUUGCGACCGUACUCCCCAGGCGGCACAUUUAACGCGUUAGCUUCGCCACAAACGGGGUCGAUUCCGUUUACAGCAAAUGUGCACCGUUUAGGGCUAGGACUAC